AUUGAACGCUGGCAGCAUGCCUUACACAUGCAAGUCGAACGGCAGCACGGGUGCUUGCACCUGGUGGCGAGUGGCGAACGGGUGAGUAAUAUAUCGGAACGUACCUUAUUGUGGGGGAUAACGCAGCGAAAGCUGUGCUAAUACCGCAUAAUCCCUAAGGGGGAAAGCGGGGGACCGUAAGGCCACGCGCAAUUAGAGCGGCCGAUACCUGAUUAGCUAGUUGGUGAGGUAAAGGCUCACCAAGGCAACGAUCAGUAGCUGGUCUGAGAGGACGAUCAGCCAGACUGGGACUGAGACACGGCCCAGACUCCUACGGGAGGCAGCAGUGGGGAAUUUUGGACAAUGGGGGCAACCCUGAUCCAGCAAUGCCGCGUGAGUGAAGAAGGCCUUCGGGUUGUAAAGCUCUUUUGUCAGGGAAGAAACAGCAGCUCUAACACAGUCUGCGAAUGACGGUACCUGAAGAAUAAGCACCGGCUAACUACGUGCCAGCCGCCGCCGUAA
rnacentral:rRNA from 1 species